GACGAACGCUGGCGGCGUGCUUAACACAUGCAAGUCGAGCGGAAAGGCCUCUUCGGGGGUACUCGAGCGGCGAACGGGUGAGUAACACGUGAGUAAUCUGCCCUUCACUCUGGGAUAGCCCCCGGAAACGGUGAUUAAUAACGGAUACGACACGUCCAGGCAUCUGGUGCGGGUGGAAACUUUUUGGGUGGGGGAUGUGCUCGCGGCCUAUCAGCUUGUUGGUGGGGUAAUGGCCUACCAAGGCUUCGACGGGUAGCCGGCCUGAGAGGGUGACCGGCCACACUGGGACUGAGACACGACCCAGACUCCGACGGGAGGCAGCAGUGGGGAAUAUUGGACAAUGGGCGGAAGCCUGCUCCAGCAACGCCGCGUGAGGGAUGACGGCCUUCAGGUUGUAAACCUCUUUCAGCACCGACGAAGCGAUCCUUUGGGGAGUGACGGUAGGUGCAGAAGAAGGACCGGCCAACUACGUGCCAGCCGCCGCCGUAACAC
rnacentral:rRNA from 1 species